rfam:Roseburia sp. 831b contig000009, whole genome shotgun sequence.
UCGAAAAUCUUAGUAUGCCUUUCUGUCCCCAGUGAUGUUCUGCCACGGACGGCAGAACAAGGCUUCACGAGCCAUGGAUGGCUCGUUGAAUGCCGGUCACGUUACUUUGAUUGCCAGUAAGAAAACUGU